rnacentral:lncRNA from 1 species
GACUUAUCUGAAAAUUUAUCUUUUAUUAAUUCAAAGGAAGAAUCGGUUUCAACUAUUUUAUCUAGCAAAUCAAUUACCGAAUAGUUUUCCUCCCUCUGAUUAUAUUCUGAGGCUUUAAAAAUAUUAAUUUUCACCUUUUGAUCCCCAAAAGAAAUGUCGAUCGCUCCUAUUUUAAAAUUAAUGUUGGCAUUGGCAGUGGCUAGGAAUAGUUAUCCUAAUAUUAUGGGAUUUUGAUUCAGCUCUUGGGAUGGUUCCAUAUCAAGUAUGAGGAAGUCUACUGAAAAAUAGUAUGUAUUGACUUUAACUAUAACAUCCUCAAUC